CGGCGGACGGGUGAGUAAUGCCUAGGAAUCUGCCUGGUAGUGGGGGACAACGUUUCGAAAGGAACGCUAAUACCGCAUACGUCCUACGGGAGAAAGCAGGGGCCUUCGGGCCUUGCGCUAUCAGAUGAGCCUAGGUCGGAUUAGCUAGUUGGUGAGGUAAUGGCUCACCAAGGCGACGAUCCGUAACUGGUCUGAGAGGAUGAUCAGUCACACUGGAACUGAGACACGGUCCAGACUCCUACGGGAGGCAGCAGA
rnacentral:rRNA from 1 species